rnacentral:rRNA from 1 species
AUGAAAAUCGUUGGUUGGAACUGCCACGGGAUGAACUCUCCGGCGGCAGUUCGGUCGCUCUUGGACCUAGAAGAGCAGGUUAGGCCAGAUAUCUUGUUUUUGGCUGAGGCGCAUCUUGAUAAGAAUAGAGCGGAGAGUCUCCGUUGUAAAUUAGGCUUCCAGUUUUUAUUACUUCAUGAAAGUACUGAUGGUCGUUCUAGGGGUCUUGUAAUGUUCUGG